rnacentral:rRNA from 1 species
GACGAACGCUGGCGGCGUGCUUAACACAUGCAAGUCGAACGGUGAAGCGCCUUCCUUUUUGGUUGGUGUGGAUGAGUGGCGAACGGGUGAGUAACACGUGAGUAACCUGCCCCCUUCUUUUGGAUAACCGCAUGAAAGUUUGGCCAAUACGGGAUAUUCUGGGUCUGUCGCAUGAUGGGUCUGUGUAGGCUAUUGUUUCGGUGGGGGAUGGGCUCGCGGUCUAUCAGCUUGUUGGUGGGGUGAUGGCCUUGCAAGGCGGUGACGGGAAGCCGGCCUGGGGGGGUAGACGGUCAGACUGGGACACAGACACGGCCGGGACUGCGACGGGAGGCAGCAGUGGAGGGUAGUGCGCAAUGGGGGCAAGUCUGAUGCAGCGGCGCCGCGUGAGCGAUGACGCCCUUCGGGUUGUGAACCUCUUUCGCCAGUGAAGCAGGCCUGCCUCGUAUGUGGGUGGGUUGACGGUAGCUGGAUAAGAAGCGCCGGCUAACUACGUG